rnacentral:rRNA from 1 species
UACGAAGGGGGCUAGCGUUGCUCGGAAUCACUGGGCGUAAAGGGUGCGUAGGCGGGUCUUUAAGUCAGGGGUGAAAUCCUGGAGCUCAACUCCAGAACUGCCUUUGAUACUGAGAUCUUGAGUUCGGGAGAGGUGAGUGGAACUGCGAGUGUAGAGGUGAAAUUCGUAGAUAUUCGCAAGAACACCAGUGGCGAAGGCGGCUCACUGGCCCGAUACUGACGCUGAGGCACGAAAG